UAGGUACGUUGCCCAGUGCCCAGCCAGCCGCCGAAGGGUAUCCAUGCUUAUCUCCUCAAAGACAGGGUAAAAGACACAUUGACUUGUCCCUCAAACUCUUUUUUCAGGAUUCAGGAUUUCCUUAGCAUCAACAGGAAAUAGAGAUUCGAACCCGGGGCCUCGAAAUACGGGUCGGACUCUCUUGUAUAGAGUGAAAGAGGUUGCCCACUGCUCGAGGUCUUUGGAGGCCCUAUCUGCUUCUCAGGUCACUACUCACUGAUGGGGAGCAGGUAAUUAAAGUGUCCUCCAUUGUUUCUGAUGCUGAAGGUGCUGCCACAAAGAGAGAGUUUCAUUCUACGGAAGUUAUUGCUGUGUGGCCGAGCCCUCCACCAGACAGCAAGAGUCAGAGGUGGAGAAAGAAAAGGAGGCAUGGCAGAUGAUGGGGCAGGAGGAGAGGGAAGGUGUCAUGUGGAGGAGGUGGAGGUGGUGGCAGAAGGGCGGUGGUUAGCCCUUCACCGCCACCACUGGAGGGAUCACACAGGCCGCCGCAGGGCGUGGGAGGUAGCCAGCUGUCCCUCUUAGGCUGGGCAGGUGGAGGGCGGGAAGGAGGGUGAGGGUGGGCGGAGGUGUGUGGCGGUGGUGGCAACACUGUCCCGCCCACACCCACACCCGCCCGCCCUUGUCCUCGUAAAGCAGUUUAGGCCGACCCUCAACGCCUACACCAUAGAGCUGCCUGCCGGCCUGGUGGAGGAUGGGGAGAGUGUGGAAGAGGCAGCCAUGAGGGAGCUGAAGGAGGAGACAGGACUGGAAGGGUGUGCAAGUGUCACAUCCCCUGCCACAGCCCUUGAUCCUGGCACCGCGGACGGCAGGGUGUGGCUUGUGUCUGCGAAGGUGGAGUGUGGCAGUGGUGGUGGUGGUGAGGGAGGUGUGCCCAAGGUGUGCGGUGUGGAAGGAGAGCGUACAGAGGUGCUGCUCCUGCCCCUCCCCUCCCUGCACACAGCACUUGGAGAGUUGUCGGCCACUGGGUGUGUGGUGGACUCGCGGGUGCAAGCCUUGAGCCUGGGGAUGAGCGUGUCCACUUCCAUGCCUUCAAGCUCAUGAGAGGGUUAUGUUCGGGAUCCCCAAAUGGACGCUGGUGGGCUUGGGCAUGUGGGUUCAGCUUCCCUUACCCUUCAUCUGAUGAGUGACUCCUUAACUGCUGCAAACAAGACUUCAGUCACUCUUGAGGGACCCUAGACAGUGCUCUCAAAGCCUGUGAAUAUCCACUUGCGCUCCAGACACGCCCCGACUCCUGUGGUGAUCUGCUUGUAGACUGUUGGGUAUCUGAAGAGGGAAGAGAAUGGUAAGGGUAUGAAAUGUGCUGUACAAUAUUGGGUAUCUGACAGAGGAAGAGAAGGGUACAGGUAUAGAAGGGUGAGAAAUCUGCUUGUACAAUGUUGGGUAUCUGGAAGAUGGAAGAGAAUGGAAAGGGUUUAAAAGGGUAAGAAAUCUGCUUGUAUGUACACUGCUGGUUAUUUGAUGGAACAGAAUGACAAGUUUAAGAUAGGUUAUGAGAUUCCAUUCACUAAUUUUUCACUUAUGAUUAAGGGAAGCCUCACAAAGGGUACCAUAAAACACUAAUAAAACAUGGAUUACAGUUAAAUACAGACAGUUACUUAAGAAAACACAUUGAAUUUUGUCCAAGAUCACUUAGUUUGGGGAGUUACAAGCAUAUGAAGAUCAGCCUGCACUACUUUAUCAUAAAUCUCUCAUCUACCAACUCAAUCUUCAACUAUUACUUCUUUUACUCUCCUAAUGUCACUACCCUUAGGUUACAAAUUCACACAUUAAAAAGAUUGUCAGAAUGUGGUGUUAUUAGGCCAAGCAAACUUACUGAUUGAGCAUGGCUUCGAUGUCUGAUGGGCGGAUCUCCUUGUCAAACUGCUGGAUGAAGGACCAAAUGUAAUCCACACUGGCACCUUUCGGAUGUAUGUGGAGGAAGGUGGAAGUCAGGCCUGUGAACGAGAUAUGGAGUUGAGAUCACACAAACAAUACAUUUUUUUUCUUUCUAAGUACUAAUGAGCUAAACUAUAUAAGAGUUAGACGAGUGAGGCCUUUCAGUCCUGUGUGUGUUUUAGCAAGUGGUGCCUUUGGUCGAGAACCUGUCAUUACUGAGGCCUGAAUUUGCAUCCUUGUGAAGAAAUGAAUGUCUUAUCCAGCUCUUCUU